ensembl:lncRNA
AUGCUACUGAGCCAGAUGUCUAUGUGUCAGGGGAGAAGCUCCAGGUGGUAUCUGAUGCUACUGAGCCAGAUGUCUAUGUGUCAGGGGAGAAGCUCCAGGUGGUAUCUGAUGCUACUGAGCCAGAUGUCUAUGUGUCAGGGGAGAAGCUCCAGGUGGUAUCUGAUUUUAAGUACCUUGGCAUCAUACUUGAUUCCAACCUCUCUUUUAAAAAGCAUGUGAAAAAGGUAAUUCAAAUAACCAAAUUCAACCUAGCUAAUUUCCGAUUUAUACGAAAUUGUUUGACUACAGAGGUAGCAAAACUGUACUUCGAAUCUAU